GAUCAAAUAUCAUGUUAGUAGAAAAACAAAAGUAGCCAUAAUUAGAAUGGAAAAGGGUAGUAAGACUGCUGAAAUUCUGGAAGAAAUAGAACCAAUGGUAAUGUAGUUCGAUGGCCAAAAAGACCAAUAAAAGCAAGAAACAUUAGCAUUUCUUGUAAUAGUGAAUGCCUGUAAUCCCAUCUACUCUGGAGGCUGAGGCAGGAGAAUCGCUUGAACCCGGGAGGUAGAGGUUGCAGU
rnacentral:lncRNA from 1 species